rfam:Salmo salar isolate Sally breed double haploid chromosome ssa13, whole genome shotgun sequence.
CUAUAUGUACCCUGUAGAACCGAAUUUGUGUUAAUAUAUUACAAUCGCAAGUACGUCUCUACAGGAAUACAUGGG